CUACGGGACGCUGCAGUGGGGAAUAUUGCACAAUGGGCGCAAGCCUGAUGCAGCCAUGCCGCGUAUAUGAAGAAGGCCUUCGGGUUGUAAAGUACUUUCAGCGGGGAGGAAGGGAGUAAAGUUAAUACCUUUGCUCAUUGACGUUACCCGCAGAAGAAGCACCGGCUAACGCCGUGCCAGCAGCCGCGGUAAUACGGAGGGUGCAAGCGUUAAUCGGAAUUACUGGGCGUAAAGCGCACGCAGGCGGUUUGUUAAGUCAGAUGUGAAAUCCCCGGGCUCAACCUGGGAACUGCAUCUGAUACUGGCAAGCUUGAGUCUCGUAGAGGGGGGUAGAAUUCCAGGUGUAGCGGUGAAAUGCGUAGAGAUCUGGAGGAAUACCGGUGGCGAAGGCGGCCCCCUGGACGAAGACUGACGCUCAGGUGCGAAAGCGUGGGGAGCAAACAGGAUUAGAUACCCCCGUAGUC
rnacentral:rRNA from 1 species